UACGAAGGGGGCUAGCGUUGCUCGGAAUCACUGGGCGUAAAGGGUGCGUAGGCGGGUCUUUUAAGUCAGGGGUGAAAUCCUGGAGCUCAACUCCAGAACUGCCUUUGAUACUGAGGAUCUUGAGUUCGGGAGAGGUGAGUGGAACUGCGAGUGUAGAGGUGAAAAUUCGUAGAUAUUCGCAAGAACACCAGUGGCGAAGGCGGCUCACUGGCCCGAUACUGACGCUGAUGCACGAAAGCGUGGGGAGCAAACAGG
rnacentral:rRNA from 1 species